rnacentral:lncRNA from 1 species
UGGAUCUGAAGCAAAGUUUCUUUCACUUUUCUUUUAGACUGAAACGAGUGUCAAGUUGUCCAUUUUUACUGAUCGGCAAGAAUGUCUGGAAUAGAGGAGCUUUUAGCAGGAGGUGCUGUUGGAACACUAUGUUCAAAGCUGUACAAGGGCAUUGUGAAAUUGAUCGGCAAGUUUAGGAAGUUGAAGCCCCAACUUGAAAACAUCCGGCCCACGCUUCACUCUUUGCAGUCACAAAUCGUACAAAUUGAAGGUCAGAACAAGAAAUUAAAGCUCCCAGACAAGGAGCUACAAAAUAUUAGAAAUGAACUAUGUAAGGGCCUAAAUCUCAUCCACGAGUGCUUGGAGAAUCCAGAGUGGUACAAAAUGCCUAAAUACCACAACCAACUUCUUGAAUUUGACAGGUCUCUCAAAAGGCAGUUAGAUUUGAUACCGGUGCAUGCACUGAGGGAUUGAAGGACGUCGUUGCUUAUGCAAACAGAACAAACCGGCAAACUUGAUGAGUUGAUAGGUUAUGAGAAGGAGAACUUGGAGUUGACUAGGCAAAUAGAAAGGAUUUUGCCUAAGCCGGAAAUAGAGACGAGUAAAGCUUCACCCCUUCCGGUUGGAUUGGGUAUGCCUUUGAAGGAAUUGAAGAAGCUUCUUGAUGACAGGGUGUCAAGGCUUGUACUGAUCGGUCCUCAAGGUUAUGGAAAAACCACAUUGGCGAAGCAGUUUUGUCAGGAUGAGGAUGUCAAAGGUAUAAUCAAGUUCUUUCA